rnacentral:sRNA from 1 species
AUCUGGUAUAGGAGCAUGUAGGAAAGAAGGAUUCAUUGUGACAGAGGGAUCUGGGCAGGCAGCAGGAGGUUCCACCUGAGUGAGCCUUGAGUGAAUGGAUAGAUUUUGACUGGACGGGAGCAUUCCAGUCCCAGGAGAUGAAGGAGCAAUGUUCUUCUAUCAGAAGCAAACAUAUUCAGAAACUCCAUGCCCUGCCUCACUUAGCAAUAAUAGUACACAUAGCAGUGUGGUGAAGUCAGGCACCCUCCUGCUACUACAAGAGAAUGUGAAGUAACGAAGAUCCCCCCUGCCACACACACACUCGUGUUUUGGUCCCCUCACCACUCACCCUCUGAAGAAGAAGGUCAUUCUAAGACACCAAGUGACAUUCAGGUUCUGAAGGCAAGAUUCCAUACUCUGGGGUGUGAGGAAUUGUGCUGUUGAACUCUUCCCCCAAGAAGUGCUCAGGUUGAGGUUAAAGGGCUCCUGAGGGCAGAAAGGCAGAUACUGUCAAAAAAGAGAGUUCCUGUGAUCCCGGUGUCAUGUGGCUCCCCAAACAAUUUCUUGAAGACUUGUAAAUGUGGCAGUCUGCAAAAGCAGCAGCAGAAGUGACAACUGGGAAAAAUUGUGAUACUGCUUUCUGUGAAUCCCCAAGGACAACCAACACCACAAAAGGAUCUGAAGGUUUGAAGGUUGCGAGAAGGCCUUUUCAAGGCUUGAAAAUCUCAAGAUCCACUUGCGGAGCCACACAGGCGAGAAGCCGUAUUUGUGCCAGCAUCCG